GAUGAACGCUGGCGGCGUGCCUAAUACAUGCAAGUCGAGCGAACGGACGAGAAGCUUGCUUCUCUGAUGUUAGCGGCGGACGGGUGAGUAACACGUGGAUAACCUACCUAUAAGACUGGGAUAACUUCGGGAAACCGGAGCUAAUACCGGAUAAUAUUUUGAACCGCAUGGUUCAAAAGUGAAAGACGGUCUUGCUGUCACUUAUAGAUGGAUCCGCGCUGCAUUAGCUAGUUGGUAAGGUAACGGCUUACCAAGGCAACGAUGCAUAGCCGACCUGAGAGGGUGAUCGGCCACACUGGAACUGAGACACGGUCCAGACUCCUACGGGAGGCAGCAGUAUGGAAUCUUCCGCAAAGGGCGAAAGCCUGACGGAGCAACGCCGCGUGAGUGAUGAAGGUCUUCGGAUCGUAAAACUCUGUUAUUAGGGAAGAACAUAUGUGUAAGUAACUGUGCACAUCUUGACGGUACCUAAUCAGAAAGCCACGGCUAACUACGUG
rnacentral:rRNA from 1 species